rnacentral:misc_RNA from 1 species
GAGGAAGUAAAAGUCGUAACAAGGUCUCCGUUGGUGAACCAGCGGAGGGAUCAUUACCGAGUUUUCAACUCCCUAACCCUUAUGUGAACCUACCUAUUGUUGCUUCGGCGGACUCGCCCCAGCCGGACGCGGACUGGACCAGCGGCCGCCGGGGACCCUCAAACUCUUGUAUUAUCAGCAUCUUCUGAAUACGCCGCAAGGCAAAACAAAUAAAUCAAAACUUUCAACAACGGAUCUCUUGGCUCUGGCAUCGAUGAAGAACGCAGCGAAAUGCGAUAAGUAAUGUGAAUUGCAGAAUCCAGUGAAUCCAUCGAAUCUUUGAACGCACAUUGCGCCCGCCAGCAUUCUGGCGGGCAUGCCUGUUCGAGCGUCAUUUCAACCCUCGACCUCCCUUUGGGGAAGUCGGCGUUGGGGACCGGCAGCACACCGCCGGCCCUGAAAUGGAGUGGCGGCCCGUCCGCGGCGACCUCUGCGUAGUAAUCCAACUCGCACCGGAACCCCGACGCGGCCACGCCGUAAAACACCCAACUUCUGAACGUUGACCUCGAAUCAGGUAGGACUACCCGCUGAACUUAAGCAUAUCAAUAAGCGGAGGAAUU